rnacentral:rRNA from 1 species
GAUGAACGCUAGCGGCAGGCUUAAUACAUGCAAGUCGAACGGGAUUCGGUGUAGCAAUACAUUGAUGAGAGUGGCGCACGGGUGCGUAACGCGUAUGCAACCUACCUUUAACAGGUGAAUAGCCCCGAGAAAUCGGGAUUAAUACACCGUAACAUUGCGGGAUGGCAUCAUUCUGCAAUUAAAGAUUUAUCGGUUAAAGAUGGGCAUGCGUGACAUUAGCUAGUUGGUGAGGUAACGGCUCACCAAGGCGACGAUGUCUAGGGGUCCUGAGAGGGUUAUCCCCCACACUGGUACUGAGACACGGACCAGACUCCUACGGGAGGCAGCAGUAAGGAAUAUUGGUCAAUGGGCGCAAGCCUGAACCAGCCAUGCCGCGUGCAGGAAGACGGCCCUAUGGGUUGGUAAACUGCUUUUGUUCAGGGAAGUAAACCUAGUCUACGAGUAGGCAGCUGAAGGUACCUGAAGAAUAAAGCAUCGGCUAACUCCGUGCCAG